rnacentral:rRNA from 1 species
AUUGAACGCUGGCGGCAGGCCUAACACAUGCAAGUCGAACGAGUGGCGGACGGGUGAGUAAUGUCUGGGAAACUGCCCGAUGGAGGGGGAUAACUACUGGAAACGGUAGCUAAUACCGCAUACCAUCGGAUGUGCCCAGAUGGGAUUCGCUAGUAGGUGGGGUAACGGCUCACCUAGGCGACGAUCCAUAGCUGGUCGGAGAGGAUGACCAGCCCCACGAGAACUGAGACGAGGUCCAGACUCCAACGGGAGGCAGCAGUGGAGAAUAGAGCACAAUGGGCGCAAGCCUGAUGCAGCCAUGCCGCGUGUAGGAAGGAGGCCUGCGGGUUGUAAAGUACUUUCAGCGAGGAGGCGGUACUCGCAGAAGAAGCACCGGCUAACUCCGUGCCAGCAGCCGCGGUAAUAC